rnacentral:lncRNA from 1 species
CGCCUUCAUGCUUAUCCAUCUUGUGCGCCACUUAUCAUACACGAGAAAGAGUUUCUCAUGAAAUCUUUCCAUGCACAAAGCAGCCACGCCCCUUCUCUUGUCACGUCUAGAGUAGAUAGGGAUGAGUUGGUUUGCAUUUGAAUUCAAAUUCGAUUUGAAUUCAAAUGUGCAACCACUUAUCUUUAUCCUCUCACGCGGAUAAGACACGUCUUG